UACGUAGGGGGCAAGCGUUGUCCGGAUUUAUUGGGCGUAAAGAGCGUGUAGGCGGCCAAGUAAGUCUGCUGUGAAAACUCGAGGCUUAACCUCGAGCUGUCGGCGGAAACUAUUUGGCUAGAGUCCGGAAGAGGAGAAUGGAAUUCCCGGUGUAGCGGUGAAAUGCGCAGAUAUCGGGAGGAACACCAGUGGCGAAGGCGGUUGCCUGGAGCUUUGCUGACGCUGAUGCGCGAAAGCGUGGGGAGCGAGCCGG
rnacentral:rRNA from 1 species